CUUAACUGGAGGACAUGGGUUAAAGAAACCCCGACAAUGUCCAGAGGCCGUGUAAGUAUUUAACUGGAGGACAUCGGUUAAAGAAACCCCGACAAUGUCCAGAGGCCGUGUAAGUAUUUAACUGGAGGACAUCGGUUAAAGAAACCCCGACAGUGUCCAGAGGCCGUUUAUCUGCUGAUGUUGAAGUGCUGGACGGACGUUCCUUCAGAUCGACCCACAUUCCCGGAGAUCGGCGAGGAAAUCAAACAAUUCACGUCGGCUGAGGAGUCCAGUGAUGCGUCCCAACCAUUACAGACCAAAAUAGAACCCGGGGGGUCACAGGAGUACCUGGGGGUGAUGGGCUGAAGACAUUGGGGUGAUAUGUUGAUGUGAGGCUGGUUUAGGACAGGGAUCCAAGUGUUCAGUUGGUGGAGAUGAUAUUUUGUCUGGCUACGUCAACGAGAAGUCACACAUUCAUGUUUAGGACCUUCUACAACCAAUUUGAAUGGACCUAAUGUUAAAAAAAAACACUGUGAAGUGGAAGGCUUAUAACAAUCUGUUAUUUUAAGAUUUGCUUCUUUUUAGCUUGCUUUGACAAAACAAAUCUUGAAAAGAUUUUGGAGGUCUGUUUUUAGAAGAUACUUUUGUACUUUAUAUCAAUAAUAUAAACAAACCCAGGUUGAA